rfam:Oryza brachyantha chromosome 10, whole genome shotgun sequence.
AAUAACUUUAUUUUUCGUGUCCAAUGUUUGACCAUUCGUCUUAUUUGAAAAAAUUAUAUAAAAACUUAAAAAAAUUAGUGCAUAAAGUACUAUUCACGUUUUAUCACACAGUAAGAAUAAAAAUAUUAAUCGCUUCAAAUAAGACGAAUAGUCAAAUAUUGUAUAAAAAAACUGAAAAAUGAUCUUAUU